GAAUCACCCAGACUUAUUCUUUUUACUUUCUCAUGUACAUAACCAAAUGAUCGUUUUCCUCUGUUCUAGAGAUAAGGUAUCUGAUGCAGUUCAUUAAAAAUAAAGGAAUUGGAAAAAAAAGUGAAGCUCGGAUUCUUUCUCCCAUGUAGAGUUCAGAAGUACUGAAUCAAUUUUAGUAGUGAAGGGGAAGUGCAUAAUAUGAAACAAUUUUACCAGAAUAUACUACAUUUCCUAAGUUUUUUAGUUGAGAACUGUUACCUAGAAGCUUUGUAAUCACAGCCAAAUUAGAACUUCAGCUCUAGCGCUAAUGUUCAUCAGUUACAAAAAUAAAAAUUUCAACUCCAGAGCUGAACUGAAAUUUUGCGUGAUUACCUUUGCUACUUCAGCCCCGUAUGCUGAAGUUAUGCAAAAAAGUGGUACGCUUGCAAUUUUUUUUGUAAAGCGAAUACAAGUUAAAACGUGACACAAAAAACGGGUAUAGGUGCAAAUGCCCCAAUUACUUAGGUUAGGGGAAUUGGUCCGUUCACUUUAAUUUAUCCGGUUAACCGGA
rnacentral:lncRNA from 1 species